ACCCUUCAGAGUCCUUACCCCUUGGAACUAAAUAUUGCUCUGAGUGGCUAAAAUAAAAGUAAAGUAAAACUGAAGUGGCCUUGGAGUGUUUAGGGACAUACCAGUUCAUUUCAAACACAA
rnacentral:snoRNA from 1 species